AAGCCAUGAUGAAUAUUGCGCUUAAUGUUGAGGCUGGUCCCUCACAAUCCUCUGAUCUCCAGACGAAAUUAGUAGUGCUUCUGAGCUU